GAUCCUAGUGGCUGAUAUGGUCAAGGCUCCAAGUCCAAGGAUGGCUAAGCAGCCUGAAGCUGCAAACACACCGUCUUUGACCAGUAGGAGGAUAUUUGGGUAGGUGGUUCGGGCAUUCUUGGAUGAUAACCAAAG